GGUUAAGCGACUAAGCGUACACGGUGGAUGCCCUGGCAGUCAGAGGCGAUGAAGGACGUGCUAAUCUGCGAUAAGCGUCGGUAAGGUGAUAUGAACCGUUAUAACCGGCGAUUUCCGAAUGGGGAAACCCAGUGUGUUUCGACACACUAUCAUUAACUGAAUCCAUAGGUUAAUGAGGCGAACCGGGGGAACUGAAACAUCUAAGUACCCCGAGGAAAAGAAAUCAACCGAGAUUCCCCCAGUAGCGGCGAGCGAACGGGGAGCAGCCCAGAGCCUGAAUCAGUGUGUGUGUUAGUGGAAGCGUCUGGAAAGGCGCGCGAUACAGGGUGACAGCCCCGUACACAAAAAUGCACAUACUGUGAGCUCGAUGAGUAGGGCGGGACACGUGGUAUCCUGUCUGAAUAUGGGGGGACCAUCCUCCAAGGCUAAAUACUCCUGACUGACCGAUAGUGAACCAGUACCGUGAGGG
rnacentral:rRNA from 1 species